CUCUUGUCCCAUGGAGAAUUGGCUGGGGCAAGUUGUCCUAGACCCCUGGCAAGUCCAUCAAUGAAACAGGACUUCUCCUGCGUGCAACUUCUCAGCUAAAGUUCUGCUUCUGAGGAAUUCCUUCAAGAAUGUUCUAAGCCUAGAAUCCUUGCUCACGAGAAGGCAGAAGUAACCCACAGAAAAAACAGAGCUGCCUCAUCCAUGUGCCCAACAUUCCCAGCUACCUUGACAUCGCCCGCUAAAUCCGCCAUUCUUUGCAAGUACGCAUCAUUUGCCUGUAACUUUAUGUUGAGAGUCUAGUUGGUUGGCUUAAUCAAAAUGUUGUGUGGAUAUUUUUAAUGUUUUAAAAACCUUUGGUGUUGUGCAUUUGAUGAUUCAGUGUAUUCAAUGUACAAUGUGUCAAUGCAUUACAAAAUAAAUAUAGGAAAUAC